GACAUUAUUGCAAUUUACGCUCAAAUGAAAGAAAUAAUUGAUCUGAAAUUAGAUUUCUGCAAGCAAGAUAGAACUGUUUUUGAUCAAUUGAUAGACUUUUAUAUUGUGGCCAUCGUCCUCAGCGUCAACAAUUAGUCCAACCAAAGAUGCAAGAUUCCAGGUGUUGAGAUGCAUAGGUCGGCAAGUCUGUUGGCGUUAAAGGGGUAGGAGGUGUUGUUUAAGUAUGAUGUUAAACAUGAGCAUGCUCUGAGGCUGAUUGGUUCAUACCAUCAGGGCAUAAACCCGAUGGCUAGACUCUCCAGCAAUCCCAUGAGAUGGACAUGUGAGCUGCAUUUGACCGUUGAUUGUUUAUCUUUGUCAAAAACCCAAACUGAUAACCCUAUAACAGUUAAUUCAUAUGGUCAGAGUUAACUUUUCGAUGCCUUGAAACUCAUGUAAUUACUUUAGUUUUGAAAGUGUGCAUGACAAGCAUGGCACUGUAUUAUAUGUACAGGUAGAAUGCUAAGAAUUAUGGUAGAAAAUUAGAUUUUAGUAGUUAAGUUAAAUUUCAUUGAAGUAUGCUAA